AUUGAACGCUGGCGGCAGGCCUAACACAUGCAAGUCGAACGGUAACAGGAAGCAGCUUGCUGCUUCGCUGACGAGUGGCGGACGGGUGAGUGAUGUCUGGGAAGCUGCCCGAUGGAGGGGGAUAACUACUGGAAACGGUAGCUAAUACCGCAUAAUGUCGCAAGACCUAAGAGGGGGACCUUCGGGCCUCUUGCCAUCGGAUGUGCCCAGAUGGGAUUAGCUUGUUGGUGGGGUAACGGCUCACCAAGGCGACGAUCCCUAGCUGGUCUGAGAGGAUGACCAGCCACACUGGAACUGAGACACGGUCCAGACUCCUACGGGAGGCAGCAGUGGGGAAUAUUGGACAAUGGGCGCAAGCCUGAUGCAGCCAUGCCGCGUGUAUGAAGAAGGCCUUCGGGUUGUAAAGUACUUUCGGCGGGGAGGAAGGGAGUAAAGUUAAUACCUUGGCUCACUGACGUUACCCGCAGAAGAAGCACCGGCUAACUCCGUG
rnacentral:rRNA from 1 species